rnacentral:misc_RNA from 1 species
GAUGAAGAACGCAGCGAAAUGCGAUACGUAAUGUGAAUUGCAGAAUUCAGUGAAUCAUCGAGUCUUUGAACGCACAUUGCGCCCCCUGGUAUUCCGGGGGGCAUGCCUGUCCGAGCGUCAUUGCUGCCCUCAAGCACGGCUUGUGUGUUGGGCCUCCGUCCUCCUCCCGGGGGACGGGCCCGAAAGGCAGCGGCGGCACCGCGUCCGGUCCUCGAGCGUAUGGGGCUUCGUCACCCGCUCUUGUAGGCCCGGCCGGCGCUUGCCGACACAUCAAUCUUUUUUCCAGGUUGACCUCGGAUCAGGUAGGGAUACCCGCUGAACUUAAGCAAAUCAAUAAGCGGAGGA